rnacentral:lncRNA from 1 species
AUGCGGAGGUAAUGAAGUUGUCAGCGGCGCCCCGAGUGUGGCAGAGCCUGAUAUUCAAAUCGCCCUGCCCGCUCCGCCUGCUCCCGCCCGCUGGUCCCGGGAGCCCCAGGCUGCGCGCGCCCGCACCGCAUCGCCGCUUUGCCCCGCGACCGCGCGCGCCUCCUCGUCCUCCCCCGCGCCUUUGUUUCCGUCUCCUUCUCCUUUCCCUCCUCUUUUGUGUCGGGCCAGACUCAGCCCCAGAAACCAGCCACCCUGCCGCGUCCGACUGCCAGGGAUCCCUCACGCCGCGAGGUGGAGUCUCGCUCUGUCGCCCAGGCUGGAGUACAGUGGUGCGAUCUUGGCUCCCUGCAACUUCUGCCUCCCAGGUUCAAGCGAUUUUCCUGCCUCAGCUUCCUGAGUAGCUGGGACUACAGGAAGAGACACUAGAGAGACACUCAGCUGCAGUGAGAAUACACAGGCAUCUUCAAGUACCAGAGAUGUCUCCAAGAGCACCAGCAACCCCAGCUAUCUGGAUCUGAAGUGGAUAUGCUCAGAGACAUCCUGGCCCACCCCAAAGAAGAUGCUGCUGCACUCAGAAGACGCCAGAGCUAGCCACCACCCACACUGCAAGUCUGGAAGCUCUGCAAGGACCCAGCAAGGCAGCCUGCUCAGCGAAGGCUUUGUCUCCUGUGGCAGGAAGAGCAACAUUAAGAACAAGAACCCCGGGCUGGACUACCCCUGAGAUUUAAUGACCAGAGCUGAGACCCCCAAGACCACAAUGACUAUGGAGGGCUGUCAUUACCCUGCCUGACCCUCUAAUGCCUCUCAGUUCAAGGAGGCCACUGAGUGAAACUGAAGGCUGGUUUUCCUUGGAAGCCAGCGGCCCAUCCACCUGCUCCACUUCCCUGCCUCUUGCAGCCUCCGCUCAAACACUGUCGUGGCUUGGCAGCACUACAAGUAUUUCAGGGGCUGCCAAGCUGCUCUCCUGUUUCCUCUUCCUUGGGGCUGAUUGCAUCCCAUGAUGUGCCCAGGUUUUGAGAUGCUCCUCGUGAAUGAAAAUAGGACUGUCUGGUUCCUCCAUCCAUAGCAAGGGAGCCUAGACAGAAAUAACUUCUGUGCAUUUCUCCAGCUACAUUUAGGGAAAACUAGAAAAUACAGAAAUAUAUCAAGAAGAAAAAAAAUUUAAAAAUGACCCAAAAUCCCACCAACCAGAGACAGCUAUUAAUGAUUGUGGUAUAUUUAUUGAAUUUACUAAAGUCAUGCUAUACGCUAGGCACUGUGGAGGGACUGCAGAAAGACUUCAAGGACUGCACCGUCUUGUUAGAAAGAUGCCUAGACAACAUUUGAGAAACGCUGAUCAUGUCUGAUGACACAUAACUGCUAACAGUUACAUGGAAUUUUCUAUAUGCUAUAUACAAACAUACAAAUAUAUGUAUGUAUAUUUACUCAGCUCUCACAACAGCUACUACUGUUAUUAUGAAUCCUGUUUUAUAGUGAGAAAACUGAAACAUGGAGAGGUUAAGUAAUUUGCCCAAGAUCACAUAGCUACUAAGUGGUGGAACUGUGAUUAGAAUCCAGGCAUUCAGGCUCCAGAGUUCAUACUCUUCACAUACCACAUCUAUCUUGAAUAUAACAAUGUAGAGAAAAAGAAUUAUAGCAAGCAUAUGUCUAGGUAAGCAUUUUCCAGAAGUGACUGUUUUUUUGCAUUGGGUUUGUAAACUUUCAACAAUAAAGCAGGUUGGACUUUAUAUCAGUCAAAGCAGAAUAUUCUGAUGUCACCUUCCCCAAUGUUUAGGAUGUUAAUGAGAAUUGCUAAUCCAAGAGAAGAAAAUAAUCUCAUCUAAUUUGGGUAAGUCAAUUAUUUGAAAGUAGAAGAACCACCCUUCCACCUCUCUUGUUCUAAGGAACCUCUGGGGGAAGUACUGGAAAAAUAAUGCUUUCUAAUAAGCCCAAUAGGGCUUUUGAUUUGUAAUAACUAUUUUAAUAAGUAUCAGUUCAAUUCCUAUUAUUUUUAAGAAGUUCAUUGAAUGAAUUAAAGAACAAAUGAAUGAGCAAUGCUUUAGGCUAUAGGCUUUCAGAGGACGUAAUUCUAUGAAACAGACUCAGUGGUAUGCUGGCACCAGCUCCUACUUGCGUCUCUUUUCAACUUUGUGUUCAGUGACUUUGCCUUGGUAGCUUGACAUCAGCCAUGGUGGGAAUAUUUAAACUAAAUAACUGAGAAAAUGAUUCAUAUUAGAGAGCUUUCUUUUUUCCCGGGAACUAAGUGUUAAACAUUUACCAGCACACCACUGCCUAGACUUGUUAGGAAAUUCACAAGUGAGAAGAAAUUCUGUGAUUCCAGGAGAUGAAAGAGGGAAGUGUAAUGAGAAUAUCAACUUGAGUAUUUUAUCCGUUGCUUUCUUUAAUUGGGUCAUUUCAGAGGGUGGGUAGAUUUUGUUAAGACAGUUGAAAUAUUUAGGUAGGUAGAGGGGUGAGUGCAGUUGAAGAGUAAAGGCUGUUUGGGGCAGACAAAAGAAUGAUAGCACUCUUUCAAGUGCUCUGCCACCAGCAGUAAAAGUCGGGAGAAGGACCUAGCACCAGGACACGUGAUCUGUCCGGCGUAAGCGAGUGCUGAGUCAAAGGCCUGCAAUUCAGGCCCCUGCUCUGGGGCACGGUCAGUUUCAGCCAGGCCCAACUCUCUUUCCCAGGUCCAUGGCGUGGAUGGCACCCAGAAUCCAGCAGGGGAGUGCUGGUGGAUACACCUGGGAGGGCCUGGUGGAGGAUCAUUUGCGUGCAGAAAUAAGGAAAUAGACAUAUUUGAGCUGGAAGAAAAUCUUACAUGUCUGAUCCAAUUCUCUCAUUUCACAGAUAAGGAAAAGGGGCCCCAAAGAGUGAAGAGGGGAUGUCCUGAGGUCAUGAGGCUGGCUUACAGCAAGGAUCUGGACCAGACAGCAGGGUGGGACCCUCAGCUGUCCCCAUACUUGCUGCUUGAUAUUGGAUAGGUUAUUUAGGCUCUAUGUGUUUUCUCAUAAACACAUAGAGGUUAGGUAAAAAUGGUGGUGUGAGAAUGAACUAAUACAUGUAAAGAGCUUGCAUGUAGUAAGCUCUCAAUAAAUAUUAAUAAUACUGGGCACAGUGGCUCACACCUGUAAUCCCAGCACUUUGAGAGGCCAAGGCGGGUGGAUCCCUUGAGGUCAGGAGUUUGAGAACGCCCUGACAAACAUGGUGAAACCCCAUCUCUACU